UGGGGAAUAUUGCACAAUGGGCGCAAGCCUGAUGUAGCCAUGCCGCGUGUAUGAAGAAGGCCUUCGGGUUGUAAAGUACUUUCAGUCGGGAGGAAGGUGGUAAGGUUAAUAACCUUAUCAAUUGACGUUACCGACAGAAGAAGCACCGGCUAACUCCGUGCCAGCAGCCGCGGUAAUACGGAGGGUGCAAGCGUUAAUCGGAAUUACUGGGCAUAAAGCGCACGCAGGCGGUUUGUUAAGUCAGAUGUGAAAUCCCCGGGCUCAACCUGGGAACUGCAUCUGAUACUGGCAAGCUUGAGUCUCGUAGAGGGGGGUAGAAUUCCAGGUGUAGCGGUGAAAUGCGUAGAGAUCUGGAGGAAUACCGGUGGCGAAGGCGGCCCCCUGGACGAAGACUGACGCUCAGGUGCGAAAGCGUGGGGAGCAAACAGG
rnacentral:rRNA from 1 species